UGGGGAAUUUUGGACAAUGGGCGCAAGCCUGAUCCAGCCAUGCCGCGUGUCUGAAGAAGGCCUUCGGGUUGUAAAGGACUUUUGUCCAGGAGCAAGACUUAGAGAUGAAUAGUUUCUAGGGGUGAGAGUACUGGAAGAAUAAGCACCGGCUAACUACGUGCCAGCAGCCGCGGUAAUACGUAGGGUGCGAGCGUUAAUCGGAAUGACUGGGCGUAAAGAGUGCGUAGGCGGUUACGCGAGCUUGAUGUGAAAUCCCCGGGCUUAACCUGGGAAUGGCAUGGAGGACAGCGUAGCUAGAGUCUGUCAGAGGUGGGUAGAAUUCCCUGUGUAGCAGUGAAAUGCGUAGAGAUGGGGAGGAAUACCGAUGGCGAAGGCAGCCUGCUGGGAUAAGACUGACGCU
rnacentral:rRNA from 1 species